UACGUAGGGGGGCAAGCGUUGUCCGGAUUUAUUGGGCGUAAAGAGCGUGUAGGCGGCCAGACAGGUCCGUUGUGAAAACUCGAGGCUCAACCUCGAGACGUCGACGGAAACCGUCUGGCUAGAGUCCGGAAGAGGAGUGUGGAAUUCCUGGUGUAGCGGUGAAAUGCGCAGAUAUCAGGAAGAACACCUAUGGCGAAGGCAGACACUCGUCG
rnacentral:rRNA from 1 species